rnacentral:lncRNA from 1 species
AAGUAUAUAUCAAUACAAUACAUCAAACAGCUCACAAGCUUCCGCAAACCAACAACAUAGGCCAGCAUGGCCAUAACGUAGCUAUAAACCCCACACACUAGUCUGCAAGCCUCUAAGAGUAGUAAAGAUUGGUGGGACAGGGCCCCAGCCUACCCAUAAAGAUAUAUACAACAAAAGUUAACAAACCUCCCAACUCUGGCAGCUCCGGAGGAAAGGGGCUAGCCAACUAGAUAAAAGUCAAUCCUGCUGCUGAGGAGGUCUACUCAGUCGUCUGUCAGGACCUGCAUGCGUGAAUGCAGCGCCCCCAGGCAAUGGGGCGUCAGUACAAAAUAAUGUACAGAGUAUGAAAGGCAAUAGACUAUGAUGAGGUAUCCUGAUAUACUGGAAUAAUCUGAUAAAUAAAUCAAGGAUAAGAUAACUGUACUGACCUGCUCCUAAAUCUAAACGUAUCAAAAAUAAUAAAACAACAACCUAACAGAGCCCCCAUAAGCUCUGCAGGUACAAACAGCACACAAGACCACCUACUCAGGCCCCCAUAAGCCCGGAAGGUGCCAAUCAGUCUAUAUACCCCUAUCGAUAGUCCCUUAGCCCUGUAGGCAAUCACAUAGCCCUCUUAGGCAUUAAUAUAGCCCCAUAACAGCACAUAGUUCUCUUAGGUAUCAACAUAGCUUAUAGACAACUCAUAGCCCUCUUAGGCAACAACAUAGCCAUGUAGGAAGCCCAUAGCCUUCUUAGGCGUCAAUAUAGCCCUAUAGGUAACUCAUAGCCCUUCUAGGCAUCAAUAUAGCCCCGUAGGCAACAUAUAGCCCUUUUAGUUAUCCAUUUAGCCCCGUAGGUUGAACAUAGCCCUUCUAGGCAUAAAUCACAUUCCUGCAGCUAACCAGAAUAGCCCUAAUGGCAAUAAUAACAAUCAAAUCGUUAAAAGCGAGCAAUCUAAGCAACCUGUACAAAUAGCCUCUAAGUCGUUUCCAACAUAGGGACGCUACAAACUGAAUAAGAAUCCCGACAAGGGAGGAUUAUAUCAACCUGAGCAACCAAUAAUCAACAAUAACGGCUACAAGUAUAUCAAGUAUAUUAAGGAACAUGUCGUAAGUAGGGAAUAGCCUUAACAUACCUUUUUCGCUAAAUUCAUGUGGCUUAAAGACUUUAACUCAUAACUCCCUCGAUACUACAAUAAGGUAGGACCAUAAUCAACACAUAAAAUAAAAGAUACCAUGACAAUACAAUAAAAGAUAUGUAUUUCCGUCGCAAAUUGCUAUUUGCUGCUUAUAAAAGCUUGAGUUGAUGAAAGAAGGGUCUUACCUCGAUCUUAGGUUCGUAAUUCACCUCAAAACCUUCAAAUAUAUUCAAACCCCUGCUGUCCCAACUCUAAAAUGUGAUAUGCUACGCAAUCGAUAAAAUAAAUUAUACCACGAUGAUGAGCCCAACGCGUAGAACAACUUUCGUCAAGGACUUACGUCGAGAAAAUCUAUAUUUCACUUGAUCCUAAAAAUGGGUUUCUAUGUUUU